GCAUCAGUAGCUCAGUUUUUAGAGCGCCGGUCUUGUAAACCGGAGGCCGAGGGUUAAAAUCCCUCCUUUUGCU
rnacentral:tRNA from 1 species